rnacentral:rRNA from 1 species
CAGUAGCCGCGGUAAUGCGAAGGGAGCUAGCGUUGUUCGGAAUUACUGGGCGUAAAGCGCGCGUAGGCGGUUACUCAAGUCAGAGGUGAAAGCCCGGGGCUCAACCCCGGAACUGCCUUUGAAACUAGGUAACUAGAAUCUUGGAGAGGUCAGUGGAAUUCCGAGUGUAGAGGUGAAAUUCGCAGGUAUUCGGGAGAACACCAGUGGCGAAGGCGACUGACUGGACAAGUAUUGACGCUGAGGUGCGAAAGCGUGGGGAGCAAACAGGAUUAGAUACCCCGGUAGUCCCUGUCUCUUAUCA